rnacentral:tRNA from 1 species
GGGGCUAUAGCUCAGUUGGCUAGAGCGCCAGCUUUGCAAGCUGGAUGUCAAGGGUUCGAGUCCCUUUAGCUCCACCA